rnacentral:rRNA from 1 species
CAGUAGCCGCGGUAAUACAGAGGGUGCGAGCGUUAAUCGGAUUUACUGGGCGUAAAGCGUGCGUAGGCGGCUUCUUAAGUCGGAUGUGAAAUCCCUGAGCUUAACUUAGGAAUUGCAUUCGAUACUGUGAAGCUAGAGUAUGGGAGAGGAUGGUAGAAUUCCAGGUGUAGCGGUGAAAUGCGUAGAGAUCUGGAGGAAUACCGAUGGCGAAGGCAGCCAUCUGGCCUAAUACUGACGCUGAGGUACGAAAGCAUGGGGAGCAAACAGGAUUAGAUACCCCCGUAGUCCCUGUCUCUUAUAC